GCGGGGGUGCCCGAGCCUGGUUAAAGGGGGCGGACUCAAGAUCCGCUGGCGUAGGCCUGCGUGGGUUCAAAUCCCACCCCCCGCA
rnacentral:tRNA from 1 species